GCCAAUUUUAAACCACCUGGGUCAUGACUCAUGACAAGAACAAAGAGAAAGGAGAAAACAGCAACAUAGACCGUGGAUAAAGAGGGAAUAUGGACUGAUGAUGAAUCAGUAAAACCUCCUUAAAGAAUAGAUCAAAAGGGCAUUUAUCUGCAGGAAGGAUUCUGCUAACUAAAAUAUGGACUAAAAGUACUUGCAUAAUGUUGGAAAGGAAGAGACCCCCCCCCCCCUCCCCAAUCAUGAAAAGUUAGUUGAAAUGUCAGAGUGAAUUUGAAGUACCAAGAAAGUAGUUAAUAAAUAUUCCUAUCAAAUGUGUCGCACGCAUGGUUAGAGCGUCUGCCCUCGAGUCACGAAGUAAGGAGUUGAAUUCCACUGUGGAUCCUUCGGAUGAGACUGUAUAAACUGAGGUCCCAUGUUUCAGUACGUGAUGAUAAAAAAAGAUCCUCCCUGCUCAAUGGCCCUGAGUGCCAAUUAAUGUAGUGUAGGACAAAAUUUGCAGCUCUCCCACGGCAGAUGUUGGCAUCUCCAUAUAAGUGAAAAAUUCUCA